rnacentral:rRNA from 1 species
GCACGGCUGUCGUCAGCUCGUGUCGUGAGAUGUUGGGUUAAGUCCCGCAACGAGCGCAACCCACGUAUUUAGUUGCUAACGGUUCGGCCGAGCACUCUAAAUAGACUGCCUUCGUAAGGAGGAGGAAGGUGUGGACGACGUCAAGUCAUCAUGGCCCUUAUGCCCAGGGCGACACACGUGCUACAAUGGCAUAUACAAUGAGACGCAAUACCGCGAGGUGGAGCAAAUCUAUAAAAUAUGUCCCAGUUCGGAUUGUUCUCUGCAACUCGAGAGCAUGAAGCCGGAAUCGCUAGUAAUCGUAGAUCAGCCAUGCUACGGUGAAUACGUUCCCGGGUCUUGUACUCACCGCCCGUCACACCAUGGGAGUUGAUUUCACUCGAAGCCGGAAUACUAAACUAGUUACCGUCCACAGUGGAAUCAGCGACUGGGGUGAAGUCGUAACAAGGUAACCGUAGGAGAACCUGCGGUUGGAUCACCUCCUUUCUAG